CCAAGGUGAAGCUUAACUGAUUUUCAAGUUCUCACCUUGUAUUAUAGAAUAUCUAGAAUUGGAAGGUACCCAUAAGGAUCAUUGAGUCCAACUUCACGUAUAUCUAAAACUAUGAACUUGAACCAGUGUGAGUCUUGUUUCUGAAGUCACUUAGAAGUCAUCUCAACAUUUCCACUGCUUUCUAAGGAGGAACUGAAGGGGAGCUUAGAAUUGAAACUGUAAAAUCUCUGUAAUAGAAAACUGAAAACAUUCAACAUGACACACUCCUGACAUAUACUCUUCUGGUGUGAAGAAACAAGUGGUGGCAGAACCCUCAUAUGAAUUUCAUGUAGGUUUGCAUCACUCUUUUUUUUUACAAUUAGAAAUCCAAGAGCUAGUACUGCUUUAUUUGUCUCCUGUGCAUGCCUUCCUGACAAGCCAUCAAAUUCCUUACGCAGGGUUAACAUCCUCAAUUUGGCAGCAACCCCAACAUUCCAGUGACA